rnacentral:rRNA from 1 species
AGAUUGAACGCUGGCGGCAUGCCUAACACAUGCAAGUCGAACGGGAGUAGCAAUACUCUAGUGGCGGACGGGUGAGGAAUACGUAGGAAUUUGCCCUUAAGUGGGGGAUAACCCGGGGAAACCCGGAUUAAUACCGCAUGACCUCGAAAGAGCAAAGUGGGGGAUCGCAAGACCUCACGCUUUUGGAGAAGCCUACGUCGGAUUAGCUAGUUGGUGAGGUAAUGGCUCACCAAGGCGACGAUCCGUAACUGGUCUGAGAGGAUGAUCAGUCACACCGGAACUGAGACACGGUCCGGA